GCCGCCGCUGCCCGGUCCACCUCCUCCCCCAGGACCUGAAGAGAAUCCUGUCAGCUAGAGUGUCUGAAGAGGCUGGAAAGUAGGCCACACCCUCAGAGCUGCUCAGGACUCCUCUUGAGGGUGGUGUCCAGCAAGAAGGCUGGUGGGAACACAGGCUCAAGGACAGAGGUAGAGAGAGCGAGCCAGGUGCUUCUGCACUUGUUACUCUUCACUGUGGUCUCACCGAGAGACAUUGUCCCUCAGUUGGUGAGUGGUACCCGGAAAUAUGCUUUUUUUUAAAAAAAAAAUUCCACAAUACAUG
ensembl:lncRNA